UGUGAUUAAGUCAAGUCACAUUUAUUUAUAAAGAAAUAAAACAAAGAAAGCAGUUUGAAUUUGUAUCUAGAACAAGAAAGGUGAAAAAAACAAAACUUCCAAAUGCAGUAAUUCACAGAGUGACCACAGGAGGGCGCAGUUUCACCUUUAAACUCCAUCUUUACACAUUAGUAUCUCAAACUAACUAAUUUAUCUGCUUCUUGGACACUUUGGAGAACGACAGGGAGAGGAAGAGAGAAACUGGAGAAACUUUCUGCGACACUUCCGGUUGAAGCUUCCGGUAAUCACGCCCAGGUGUGUUCAGGUGUUCUCAGGUGUGUAUAUCAUUGUUUCGAGCAGGUAAGCGGUGCGGACCGCGGGCAGCCUGGCUGUGGAUCAAAGCGGUGGAAGAAGAAGGAGCCGGGGAAGGAGAGAUGAAGUCUAGAUACUCAGAACUCUGUUGACGUCUUCCAGGAGGAUCCCCCGUCGGUGGCCGUCUUCCUCAGAGCUGCUGGUUGAGUGUGUGAAGAACAAAGACUUAAAGAAGGUGAGUGACAGUUUCAUCUCUCACUGCAGACCUUCGC